rnacentral:rRNA from 1 species
UAAGGAAUAUUGCGCAAUGGGCGAAAGCCUGACGCAGCAACGCCGCGUGCGGGAUGAAGGCCCUCGGGUUGUAAACCGCUUUCAGUAGGGAAGAAAAUGACGGUACCUACAGAAGAAGCCCCGGCCAACUACGUGCCAGCAGCCGCGGUAACACGUAGGGGGCGAGCGUUGUCCGGAUUUAUUGGGCGUAAAGAGCUCGUAGGCGGUUUCGUAAGUCGGAUGUGAAAACUCCAGGCUCAACUUGGAGACGCCAUUCGAUACUGCGAUGACUUGAGUCCGGUAGGGGAGUGUGGAAUUCCUGGUGUAGCGGUGAAAUGCGCAGAUAUCAGGAGGAACACCGGCGGCGAAGGCGGCACUCUGGGCCGGUACUGACGCUGAGGAGCGAAAGCGUGGGUAGCAAACAG